GCGGCAUUGAGUGUAGUGAAUGGGCCAUGGCCUAGCUUUGCGCUAGGAUUUGGGCUCAGGAAAGUCCCCGGGCCGUGAUCUGCAGAGAUGUAGUCUCAAAAACGGGAAGCGACGUUCGAGAGCCGGAGUCCUAGGCUGAGACGCGUGCGGAGCCUCCGUGGACUCUGGCCCGAAGUUGCAUUGGCCGACCGUCACAGUCAUUCACUAGGCCCAUGCAUCAUCGUAUGGGCAAACAGAACGGGGCUUACAUUUCAGUGGCU
rnacentral:RNase_MRP_RNA from 1 species